GACUAGCGGGAGGGGGCCGGGCUAGCGGGCUACUGGGCUGCGGAGACCAGAGCCCGGCUCCACUGAAGAAACCCGCCGGCUGCUGGGGCAGGGCGGCGAAAGGUCAGUCGGCCGAGAGGAGUCCGUGGAGCCACCGUUUCAUAGCCUCAGGGAAAGGAUCGGGCGUGCUCACGAGCCCUCUAACCCAUGGCUUAAACACCCGCUUCCUAAGCCUGGGUUCUUAUGCCUUUGUUUGAAAAACAUGGUUCCCUGUGAAAUUUUACAUGUAGAAGAAAGCUUCACACUACGAGAGCUCUCAGGAUAUAAUUAUUUCAGACAGAUACUGGGAACAUAAGAUGGCUUAUCAAUCUAAGAUGGCCUUCCUGUCCUUCGGAUUGAACUGAAACCAUCCCUGAUUCCAGGGAUAGGUAGAUGAUCCAGGUUUGGACAAUCAAAAUAUUGAACCACCCUGGACCUACAAGUGUUUCUGGGAUGGGAACAUGCAAACGUUGGUCCAAAUUGUUGUUCUAGGCAGCCCAGUACAUUUCUCCAAUGCCUGCCUCUCAAGCACUGUGAAAAAUCACUUUCUCUUGUUGUAUUCUUGGAGCCCCUGCUAAUUCAUUAUUGAAAAAUACCUGCUGCCUGCAUUUGGCCUUAUGUUGUCAUUUACUUGGUACUUCCUAAGCGUGGCUACUCCAAUGAAGCUUUAGUAUAUGUACUGAAAGAAGAUCCUCUCAUACUGCCACAGCCAAGAGAUAAGGUUGUAAAUCUUUAUUGGGAGAAGCCGUCAAGGACAGUUCUGUGAAAUGAAAGGAUCUCUGGAUCACCACAAAGUCUGGCUCAGUGACUAUGGCUUUGCAAACACUAAACAUUCCUGUCUCAAGUCCUGUAGAUGGCUUGAAAUAGUAUACAUAAGCAUGCCUUAUAAACAUCUUCAGUCUUUAUCAACUCUUUGGAGAUUCAGCCAUUCUUUUUUGUACUUUAGGGAAUUAAAUCAUUUUAUAAUGUAUAAAUCUGAGCAUGGCCGAUGGCAGAAGAAAUUUUGUCAUACGUUUUUAAAGAAAUAAAAAUGUAUUAUGUUUUAAAA
rnacentral:lncRNA from 1 species